rnacentral:rRNA from 1 species
GACAGAGGAUGCAAGCGUUAUCCGGAAUGAUUGGGCGUAAAGCGUCUGUAGGUGGCUUUUCAAGUCCGCCGUCAAAUCCCAGGGCUCAACCCUGGACAGGCGGUGGAAACUACCAAGCUGGAGUACGGUAGGGGCAGAGGGAAUUUCCGGUGGAGCGGUGAAAUGCGCAGAUAUCGGGAAGAACACCCGUGGCGAAGGCGGCUCUCUGGGACGGUACUGACGCUGAGACGCGAAAGCGUGGGGAGCAAACAGG